rnacentral:lncRNA from 1 species
GUUAUAUAUCUGGAUAUGGAAAUUGAGCUACAAAGCUGAGCACAGAACUAUGACUAUUCAAACACAUUGAAGAUACAACAGAGAAUGAAUAGCAAUGAAAGACAGUCUUGACUUGCUGCCAAGAGAAGAGAUGAUGAACGGCCGAUUUGAGACAACUACCACUCAAAGGAUUUAUAAGAAGGAAAUGUUCUACAUUACCUCAAGAAGAACAGAACAUGAGUUCAUUACACCCAUUGCAUCUAUUAGAUAGGGCUAAACUCUCAGAUUUUGAAUGCUGUCUUUGAUAAGCAUAGCUAGCUGUACUGUUGUCAUAGCUCAAGACUCAAGUACUGAUUUAUGCCUUGACCCUAAGUAACAUUCUGAAAAUGCUACUAAAUUUGAGAUCCUGAUUUGGAAGUCAAGAAUUGUGUGAUGUAAACAUAAUUUUGAAGUCUAAAUACCAGUUAUUCUUGAAAACAAAACAAAACAAAAACACAGCUCCAAAGGCUGGCAAUUAAUCAUCAACAUCAACGUGUGUUUAUUAAGCCCUGCUUUGAGAGCUAUAAAAUAUAUAUUAGAACGUCUCUAUUUUAAGAAGCUCACAAACUUUCUGUAAUAAAGGUAAAGUUUAUUCUCUUCACGAACAGGGCUCCUUGCUAGUAUAUAUGCAUUGUUUAAAGCACAUUCUUCUAGGUUAUUUCAUUCUAUGGGGACUCUGAGUCUUUCAUUGCCUUUGAACUAUUUUACAACACUGUAAAUUGUAGAUAACCGAUAGCAGUACAAAAGAAUUCUCCUCUAUAGAUAUGCAAAUAAAUUCUGUCCAGUGGAAGUUCAAAGACUUCCCUCCUCCACUGUGGAAGCAGCCAGUUUUGUGUCCAUUUGCAAAUUCAUUUCAACAUUCCUG